ensembl:snRNA U6 U6 spliceosomal RNA
GUGCUUGCUUUGGCAGCACACAUACUAAAAUUGGAACGAUACAGAAAAGAUUAGCAUGGCCCUUGUGCAAGGAUGACAUGCAAAUUCAUGAAGUGUUCCAUUAAAAA